AAAUAAAGUGUAAUGUGUGUGUGUUUGUGUAACCAUAUAAGUGACCGUUUAAAGGCCACAUUCACAAAUUAUGGUUAAGACAGUAGGAAAAAGACGCAUUUCCUAUAAACUGGAAAACUCAUGGAAAUUCCUAGGUCAGAGGGUCUGGAAACCUAUAAUAUUCAUGUGAAAUGUGUGGAGUGGAUAUAUUGUCAUGUGCCAGUGGGUUAGCUUGACACUUGCCCUGAACAUUCAGUGUACAUCACCCUGAAUUCCUCAGAGACAGGGAGAGCUGGCAGGAAUUCAAAAAGAGCUACAUUCCUCAUCAUUCCCUUUUGGCUGACCUCAGACCAGUAGAUUUUUACACCACCCUCUUUCAUACCACAAUCAGUAUUUGUUCAGAGAUUGCUUUAUUUUCAACAUUAUAUUUCUCCAUAUCACAUGGCACAGUAGCCACUUUGUGCGGCUUUCACCAAAGCCGUGCGACCAAAUGCUCGAUGGAAACGAGCAGCCAAACCUUUCCUGACAUCCGGUUCUCUACAAAGUCAUCCUCAGCCACAUAGACCUUGCCCAAGGCCUGCUAUUGUCUCUCUCGGUUUCCUGGAGAAGCAAAGGUCAGGUGGGGCGGUGCCCAGCUAAAUGCUGUUGUCCUGAAAUAGAGCAGUACCUCUGUAGAGAGAGCUUUCCUGAUUGUAUGCCGUCAUUGUCUAAUGAAGCCCAGGGAACAAGAUGUUUUCCUCGCUGAACUGCAAGCUGCCAAACGUUUGAUGGGAAGCUUUCGCAUGCUUCUACAGCUCAGAUGGAAUGGGAGAAAAUAUGAAACGCUCAGAAACUAUUUUAAACCUUUGUCAGCAGUCUGACGUGGCCCAUAAAAUACACAGCAAAUUUAGCAGAGUUAAAAUUAAGGAAAUAUAAAGAGUUCGGAGUUAAUUUAACACUAGAUUGAGUUUAUUUUACUCUAUGAAAAUAAAGAGUUGGUGUCAAAACACAGUGUUACCACUUUUUUUAAAAAUCAACUCCUACAGUGUUUUGUUAGUGGUGUUUGUUAACUCCUAGGGUGUUAAAUAGAGAAGACCUUCCCCUCUUUACAUCACACAUUGAACCGUGUUGAUGCAGUUCAAGCAGAUUGUCAUCUCUUUCAUUGUAAAUGGAGAUUUGCUUCGGGGACUUUGGAGUAGCACAGAAAUAGGCCUACAUGAACAUUUCUUCAGAUGAGGAGCAAUUUUAUAACAAAAAAAGUUCAAUAUCCAGUCUGAAGGUCUGACCGAGGAUCAUAUCAGCUCCUUACAGCUACUGGUUCAUCAUAUUCUGCUGUUAUUAUGUGAAAACCAACAUAGCUUUUGGAUUGAAAUGAAGUCAAACUUGUUUGUAUGAACUGAACCAUUAAUAUCUGUACUUUUGUUAUACAUUGGGAAUGUGCUUUUUAGUUGUCUCGGAUGUUAAUAUAUGGGGCAUUCUACAGAAAAGGUGGAAUUCAGGUGAUGGAAAUCUGCUUAAAUGAACUUCUUUCAACAUACCCAAAACUUCUUUAUAAUUAACUUGUCAAAUCUAUGAAUCCGCAAAACGAGGAGCUUAAUCUAUUUUUAACUUUUUAAUAAAGAAUCCAUGAGUCAUUUAUUUGUCAUUGGUGUUACCUGUGAUUUAAACAACAUUAAUGUUGAUACUAAAUAUUUUUUCCCAUUACAGCUUGUGUAUUUAGUUAAAGGUUGAGUAGAGGAAUGA